GAUGAAGAACGUAGCGAAAUGCGAUAAGUAGUGUGAAUUGCAGAAUUCCGUGAAUCAUCGAAUCUUUGAACGCACAUUGCGCCUUCUGGUAUUCCGGAAGGCAUGCCUGUUCGAGAGUCAUUAACAACCGUUUCGAUCCCUUUCUUUCAGAAAUUACAAAGAGGAAAAGGGUUUGGUUAUGGUGGAGGAGGGAAAGGGCGCGUUUAGCCUGUAAAAAAAGAGGCUGUGUUCCGCCUCCCCCCCAAAAUUGUACAGGCGGUCGUGUGCGCCCACGCAUCGAGGUGUUGUAAAAGCUGCCACGGCACUUUUCACCUGUGCAGUGCGAGAUUGGCCAGCCGGUUUAAAAACCCCUCCAAACAAUCAAAGGUUGACCUCGGAUCAGGUAGGGAUACCCGCUGAACUUAAGCAUAUCAAUAAGCGGAGGA
rnacentral:misc_RNA from 1 species